rnacentral:rRNA from 1 species
ACUGGCACUUGGAGAGUGGCAAGUCUUCCAGUAUGGGGAGCAAAACAGCUAUGGGUCAAGUCCGAUAUCUUUAGGAGAAGUCUUAUUGUGAGGGCGAGUUAUAUAACACCAUAGGACUGGCCGUCCCAUAUGAAAAGAUUAUAUUAGAAUUGAAUGAAGCUUUGUUUAUAUAUUGAUAAUGACAGUAUAUAUAUCGUGUCUUGACUAAUUGCGUGCCAGCAGUCGCGGUAAUACGUAAGAGACUAGUGUUAUUCAUCUUAAUUAGGUUUAAAGGGUACCCAGACGGUCAAUAUAGCUUAUAAAAUGUUAGUACUUGACUAGAGUUUUAUGUAAGAGGGCAGUACUUGAGGAGGAGAGAUGAAAUUUCGUGAUACCAAAGGGACUCUGUAAAGGCGAAGGCAGCCCUCUAUGUAAAAACUGACGUUGAAGGACGAAGGCACAGAGAACAAACAGGAUUAGAUACCCAAGUAGUCUUUGCAGUAAAUGAUGAAUGCCAUAGGUUAGAUUGGUCAAUUAUAGUCUAGGGUUAGUCUAGCAAACUAAUACCCUAUGCUAUAAUCCUAAUAUCUGGUCUAUAAAUGAAAGUGUAAGCAUUUCACCUCAAGAGUAAUGUGGCAACGCAGGAACUGAAAUCACUAGACCGUUUCUGACACCAGUAGUGAAGUAUGUUAUUUAAUUCAAUAAUCCGCAA